rnacentral:rRNA from 1 species
UACGUAGGGGGCAAGCGUUGUCCGGAAUCAUUGGGCGUAAAGAGCGUGUAGGCGGUCCGGUAAGUCGGCUGUGAAAGUCCAGGGCUCAACCCUGGGAUGCCGGUCGAUACUGCCGGACUAGAGUUCGGAAGAGGCGAGUGGAAUUCCCGGGUGUAGCGGUGAAAUGCGCAGAUAUCGGGAGGAACACCUAUGGCGAAGGCAGCUCGCUGGGACGUUACUGACGCUGAGAACGCGAAAGCGUGGGGAGCAAACAGG